AUUCAGUUGGGCACUCUAGAGGGACUGCCGGUGUCAAACCGGAGGAAGGUGGGAUGACGUCAAGUCCUCAUGGCCUUUAUGUCUAGGGCUACACACGUACUACAAUGGCCGGUACAAAGGGCAGCCACUCAGCGAUGAGGCGCUAAUCCCAUAAAGCCGGUCUCAGUCCGGAUCGCAGUCUGCAACUCGACUGCGUGAAGUUGGAAUCGCUAGUAAUCGUAGAUCAGCAUGCUACGGUGAAUACGUUCCCGGGCCUU
rnacentral:rRNA from 1 species